rnacentral:rRNA from 1 species
AGUGAGGAAUAUUGGUCAAUGGGCGCGAGCCUGAACCAGCCAUCCCGCGUGCAGGAUGACGGCCCUAUGGGUUGUAAACUGCUUUUCCACGCCAAGAAAUCUCCCGACGUGUCGGGGGCUGACGGUAGCGUGGGAAUAAGCAUCGGCUAACUCCGUGCCAGCAGCCGCGGUAAUACGGAGGAUGCAAGCGUUAUCCGGAUUCAUUGGGUUUAAAGGGUGCGCAGGCGGGUUUGUAAGUCAGUGGUGAAAUCCUGCCGCUUAACGGUAGAAUUGCCAUUGAUACUGCGAAUCUUGAGUAUGGUUGAGGUAGGCGGAAUGUGUAGUGUAGCGGUGAAAUGCAUAGAUAUUACACAGAACUCCGAUUGCGAAGGCAGCUUACUAAGCCAUAACUGACGCUGAGGCACGGAAGCGUGGGGAGCGAACAGGAUUAGAUACCCUGGUAGUCCACGCCGUAAACGAUGUUCACUCGCUGUCUGCGAUACACAGUAGGCGGCUGAGCGAAAGCAUUAAGUGAACCACCUGGGGAGUACGAUCGCAAGGUUGAAGCUCAAAGGAAUUGACGGGGGCCCGCACAAGCGGAGGAACAUGUGGUUUAAUUCGAUGAUACGCGAGGAACCUUACCUGGGCUUAAAUGUAGAUUGCAUUCCCGAGAAAUCGGGAUUCCCUUCGGGGCUAUUUACAAGGUGCUGCAUGGUUGUCGUCAGCUCGUGCCGUGAGGUGUCGGGUUAAGUCCCAUAACGAGCGCAACCCCUAUCGUUAGCUGCCAUCAGGUCAUGCUGGGGACUCUAGCGAGACUGCCACCGUAAGGUGAGAGGAAGGUGGGGAUGACGUCAAAUCAGCACGGCCCUUAUGUCCAGGGCUACACACGUGUUACAAUGGCCGAUACAAAGGGCAGCUACCUGGUGACAGGAUGCUAAUCUCUAAAGUCGGUCCCAGUUCGGAUCGGAGUCUGCAACCCGACUCCGUGAAGUUGGAUUCGCUAGUAAUCGGAUAUCAGCAAUGAUCCGGUGAAUACGUUCCCGGGCCUUGUACACACCGCCCGUCAAACCAUGGGAGCUGGGGGUGCCUGAAGUCCGUGACCGCAAGGAGCGGUCUAGGGUAAAACCAGUGACUGGGGUU